AGACACCACCAAACAAUGGGGAUGCCAGGAGCCCGGUACGGCGGCAGGAGCAGUACCCUGGGCUCGGGGGGAUGUAGAAGCCCCAUUCCACCCCUAGGGGACAGAACCCAGUAAGGUCGCCCUCGGUGCUCACCACACUCCGGGCAGAGGGGGCCCUGAGACUCCGACCCCCACCCCAGAGAGAGCCUGCCGCUGGACGAGGGGACCGACGGCUGCUAAGAGGCGGAUUAGCAGAAACGCGAAACUCACAACCCGCCUCUCUCCCAGAGAAACCAGUAUGGAGAAAUUAAAGGCCUCCUCAUGACCUCUCCUGCCAGAAGCAAUGAUCCCGGAGAACUGAUACUUGCGGAGUGGGGAGUUCAAAAAAGUCAGUGACCAAAACCCCCUCAUGCCAUAAAUGCUAUUGCCUCCUCUGGUCCAGAGUUUCUCAUCCUCCACACCAUUGACAUCUUGGGCUGGAUAAUUCUUUAUUGUAGGGGGCUGUCCUGUGCAUUGUAGGAGGCCUCCACCCACUAGAUGCCAGUUGCAACCUGCCCCCGACGUUGUGACAAUCAAAAAGUCUCUGGACAUUGCCAAAUGCCCUCUUGGGGAGAGGGCAGGGAGCACAUAUCCGCAUGACAACGUACAGAACCGACUUAUAAUAUUAUUAUUGUUUUAUUUUAUAUGCUGGGGCCAAUCCAGGAUAAACUCAUUAUAGCUGCCUUGUUCUCUGUCCACCAAGUACUGUCCAAAAACACAUAGUGGUGAUUGACAUCUCCUGAUACUGUGGCAGGAGUCUGGAAAGCAUUCUUGCCUGCUGUGAGCUUUUCUAAAUAUGGGCAAUCCUUAUUUCAGUGAUAUCAGCUAGUGUAAGUGACUUGACUCACGGGCCAACAGGAAAAUUCAGUCCCUCAGAUUCUACAUUCGCUUUAGCUCAGCUGCUUACAAUGUUUAUUUUUUCUUGUAUAAGUUUGCCUAGUGCUUCUACUGAAUGAAACUGUAUCAGUGAGUCUCACUGCAGCAAACCACUGCCCUUUCUCUCCUACCCUGAGUUCUUCUCAAUGCCUCUUUGUGGAAGGGGCCUCCCAAACCUGAGCUGUUUGCUUUCCGUCAAGCUCAUGUUGUCCCUAAAUUCCAUAGCCAUGUCUUAUCAUUUGAAAUUGGGCUUGUUGGCCGGGCGUGGUGGCACAUGUCUGUAAUCCCAGCUACUUGGAGGCUGAGGCAGGAGAAUCACUUGAACCUGAGAGGUGGAGGUUGCAGUGAGUGGAGAUCACGUCAAUGCACUCCAGCCUGAGUGACAGAGGGAGACUCCGUCUCAAAAAAACAAAACAAAACAAAAAAGAAAUUGGGCUUGUUUCUGACCUAAAAGUGUUUCUGCUGUCUGUCCCUGUAUGUGUUUGUCUCCGUGUACUUCACACUGAGUCUGCAGAUGAUAUACAACGUGUGAUUUUGAACAAAUCUGUAUUUGUAUUUAUCAACAUUUAAAAAAUAUUUAUUUUCUUUAAACAUCUAUUUAAACUGUUGACUCUUUUAGUUAUGAACAUGAAGAAAUUAUUUAAGAGUUUUUAGACAGAGUGGUGCAAAAGAAAGAGUAUGGGCUUUGGAAUCAAACACACAUGAUUUCAACAUACAGCUCUGCCACCUAUCAGUUUUGUAAGCUUGGGCUAAGUACUUGACCUCUAUGCAUCUGUUUCUUUAUCUGUAAAAAGAUAAUUCUACACAUCUUGUAGUGUUGUUAUGAGGAUUAAAUUGGGUGAUGUAUGUAAAAUGCCAAACAUAGCACCUGGCACAUGGUAAAUACUGAAUAAUUGAUGGUUGUUAUGUUAAGCAAAGAUAUCUUGAUGUCCUUUUUGCCUCUCAAGAAAGAAAUAAAAUUGUGCUUUGCUAAGUA